rnacentral:rRNA from 1 species
AAUAGAUACCCGGGUAGUCCACGCCGUAAACGAUGAGUGCUAAGUGUUAGGGGGUUUCCGCCCCUUAGUGCUGCAGCUAACGCAUUAAGCACUCCGCCUGGGGAGUACGGUCGCAAGACUGAAACUCAAAGGAAUUGACGGGGGCCCGCACAAGCGGUGGAGCAUGUGGUUUAAUUCGAAGCAACGCGAAGAACCUUACCAGGUCUUGACAUCCUCUGACAAUCCUAGAGAUAGGACGUCCCCUUCGGGGGCAGAGUGACAGGUGGUGCAUGGUUGUCGUCAGCUCGUGUCGUGAGAUGUUGGGUUAAGUCCCGCAACGAGCGCAACCCUUGAUCUUAGUUGCCAGCAUUUAGUUGGGCACUCUAAGGUGACUGCCGGUGACAAACCGGAGGAAGGUGGGGAUGACGUCAAAUCAUCAUGCCCCUUAUGACCUGGGCUACACACGUGCUACAAUGGACAGAACAAAGGGCAGCGAAACCGCGAGGUUAAGCCAAUCCCACAAAUCUGUUCUCAGUUCGGAUCGCAGU